rnacentral:sRNA from 1 species
GGCAAACUUGAAUUAUAUCUACGAUUGA